rnacentral:rRNA from 1 species
UACGUAGGGUGCGAGCGUUAAUCGGAAUACUGGGCGUAAAGCGUGCGCAGGCGGUGAUGUAAGACAGAUGUGAAAUCCCCGGGCUCAACCUGGGAACUGCAUUUGUGACUGCAUCGCUGGAGUGCGGCAGAGGGGAUGGAAUUCCGCGUGUAGCAGUGAAAUGCGUAGAUAUGCGGAGGAACACCGAUGGCGAAGGCAAUCCCCUGGGCCUGCACUGACGCUCAUGCACGAAAGCGUGGGGAGCAAACAGG